rnacentral:rRNA from 1 species
GGACAGAUGGGAGCUUGCUCCCUGAUGUUAGCGGCGGACGGGUGAGUAACACGUGGGUAACCUGCCUGUAAGACUGGGAUAACUCCGGGAAACCGGGGCUAAUACCGGAUGCUUGUUUGAACCGCAUGGUUCAAACAUAAAAGGUGGCUUCGGCUACCACUUACAGAUGGACCCGCGGCGCAUUAGCUAGUUGGUGAGGUAAUGGCUCACCAAGGCAACGAUGCGUAGCCGACCUGAGAGGGUGAUCGGCCACACUGGGACUGAGACACGGCCCAGACUCCUACGGGAGGCAGCAGUAGGGAAUCUUCCGCAAUGGACGAAAGUCUGACGGAGCAACGCCGCGUGAGUGAUGAAGGUUUUCGGAUCGUAAAGCUCUGUUGUUAGGGAAGAACAAGUGCCGUUCAAAUAGGGCGGCACCUUGACGGUACCUAACCAGAAAGCCACGGCUAACUACGUGCCAGCAGCCGCGGUAAUACGUAGGUGGCAAGCGUUGUCCGGAAUUAUUGGGCGUAAAGGGCUCGCAGGCGGUUUCUUAAGUCUGAUGUGAAAGCCCCCGGCUCAACCGGGGAGGGUCAUUGGAAACUGGGGAACUUGAGUGCAGAAGAGGAGAGUGGA